rnacentral:rRNA from 1 species
UACGAAGGGGGGCUAGCGUUGCUCGGAAUCACUGGGCGUAAAGCGCACGUAGGCGGCUUCUUAAGUCAGGGGUGAAAUCCUGGAGCUCAACUCCAGAACUGCCUUUGAUACUGAGGAGCUUGAGUCCGGGAGAGGUGAGUGGAACUGCGAGUGUAGAGGUGAAAUUCGUAGAUAUUCGCAAGAACACCAGUGGCGAAGGCGGCUCACUGGCCCGGUACUGACGCUGAGGUGCGAAAAGCGUGGGGAGCAAACAGG